rnacentral:tRNA from 1 species
AUUUAUAUAGUUUAACAAAAACAUUAUAUUUUCAUUAUAAAAUUAGAAUAUUAUUCUUAUAAAUA